rnacentral:tRNA from 1 species
GAGGUCUUGGCUUAAAUUAAAGUAUCUGAGUUGCAGUCAGAAGAUGUGUUUGGAACACAGGCCUU